rnacentral:misc_RNA from 1 species
UCAAACUUGGUCAUUUAGAGGAAGUAAAAGUCGUAACAAGGUUUCCGUAGGUAUGUAUCAGUCUUUUCCAGGUCCUUUUCAUCACAAAUGCUAACAAACUUCUAGGUGAACCUGCGGAAGGAUCAUUAAUGGGAUUGGACCUUUUCGGUCUUAACCUUCAACCCAAUGUCUUUAUUACUUGAUUCUUUGAUGGGGAAACUCAUCAGAAGAUUUCUUGAACUCUUGUAACUUGAUCUCUGAAAUCAAAAAGAAAUAAUUAAAACUUUCAACAACGGAUCUCUUGGUUCUGGCAUCGAUGAAGAACGCAGC